rnacentral:rRNA from 1 species
GUGCAGCAGGCGCGAAAACUUCACACUGUGCGAAAGCACGAUGAGGGAAUCCCAAGUGCUUGCACGUAAGUGUAAGCUGUUUCUCUGUCUAAAACGCAGAGAGAGUAAGGGCUGGGUAAGACGGGUGCCAGCCGCCGCGGUAAUACCUGCAGCUCAAGUGGUGACCGUUAUUAUUGGGCCUAAAACGUCCGUAGCCGGUUUAAUAAAUGCCUGGGUAAAUUGUGUAGCUUAACUAUACGAAUUCCGGGUAGACUGUUAAACUUGAGACCGGGGAGAAG